AGCAGCUGUGUCAAAUUCAGUGCUUACCAACCAAUGGCAGGCACUAGCCCAAAAGGCUGCCAUAGUAAUAAGGUAACUCAUGGGCCCUGAUUCUCUCUCCUGGGCCUUAGGGAUAAAUUUGGUUACAGACACUA
ensembl:snoRNA